GGCAGCUGAGGCGGCGCCGGGCUCUGGGCCGGGCUGGCGGGUCCCCGGGCAGGGGUGUCGCCCGCGCCCUCCUCCGUGCCCCGCCAGGGGACAGAGACCCCACAAACAAGGAACAAGCACCCGAAACUGCCCCCGAGCCACCAGCCCGCUCUGCCGCGGCGGCUCCUCCGGGGGGCGUCAGCGUGCAGAGGUCGUGUCUCCCUCAGCGGGUUUCCCCCAAGGCGUGUCCCCGAUGUGGGGCUCAUCUCAAUGGCAUCUCUUCCCAAGCGGAUAUCUGUGCAGAGGGUCUCUCCCCUCAGCGGGUCCCCCCCUAUGGCAAGCAUCCCGCCAGCAGGUCUCCCACUUUAGCAGGUCUCCCCUCAGUGUGACUCCCCUCUUAGUGGGUCUCUUCUCUCAGCAGGUCUCUUCCCUCAGGUCUCUCCUCAGCAACUCUAUCCCAUGGUGGGUAUUCCCUCAGCAGGUCUCUCCCCUCAGAAGUUCUCUCCCUUCCAGUGAAUAGCACCUCAGUAUGUUCCCACCAUGGUGGGCACCCUUUCAGCGGGUCUCUCCCCUCAGCAGGUCUCAUCCCACAGCAAGGUGCUGCUCCCCUCAUCACCCCAGCGGGAGGGUUAAAAUGACCCUGCAGGCCUGGGCAGUGCUCUCUCGUGAAGACACAAAGGAAACUGUCUGAAACACCCGCUCAUGUGCCUGCAGUGGGUGAGAGAUCUGGGUUUUAAACGGGGCUUUGGGGCGGUUUUUCCUGUCACAGCUGUAAAAGGGGUGUGUUUGAUGCAGAACUCAACACAUGAAGCCUAAACCCAUGUUUUUUAUAGAAAUACAGGCUGUUCCAGAGGUAGUAAAAUCUACAGAAGUGUGUUUGUUGACUAUUUGUUUAUCAUGUGUGGUUACAUGGAGAUACCACUGUCUGAGGAGUUCAAGCAUCCCACUGCAAAGAUUAUGAUUUUAUUGCUGUAGUAUCUCUAUGAAGACUUAGGUGUGAUGAGAUAAUUGUGGGAAAUAAAUUGUGCCUUCGUGAAGCUGACAGUGAUACAGGAUGGGGAUGGGGCAGACACAGCUGAUGGGAUACCCCAAAUCCAGAAUUACUGUUAAGGACAUAAUCCUGUAAAUCCUGUGAACUUGAUGCAUAAAAUUCAUGUAGUGUGAAUACAAUCAAAUAUGCCUUUCUGUAAAGUGUGGUUUUGUUGAUGUAUGCGAGAGGUUUGCCUCUAGAUUCAUAGCAAAUUUAUGUUUUUGAAUCCCUGUUUCUGAACAUGUCUGAGGGCUGAUCCCAGGGGUACUAGGAAGAGAGAGGAAAAAUCAGUUUCCACAUUGAAGGACUAACCAAACCGUGCACAGGCUUCUGCCAGUGGCUUCAAUAGCCUCUGGAUCUGUUAUAAUAUCCUUAAACCCAAAUCCAUACAAGCACUUAGUGGAACACUUAGGAUACUGAAAAAGGUAACAGAGUUCAAUUACACUGCAGUGAAAUCCAAGAUAAAGUCAAAACCCACAAACCUGCGUGCUUAACUAAUGUAUAACAAAAGCAGCACAAUCCCCCCGUCCAAGCUGACAUUCCUCACUUAACUCUCCCAAUUAUGGGCAGCUUUUGAAGUGUCCGCGAUACAUUUUAUUGAGAAAUCCUACAGGCUGGUACAACAUGUUCUAUUUAGGCACAACAGGAUGUGGAAAGGUAGCUUUCUCUUUUUUUUUUUUUUCUUUAAUUUCCUGGUUUAUUUCUGGUUUUGCUAAGCUGAGGAAAACACAGAUUUCUGCUUUUACAUAUUUCUUACACAUAUUUCUAUUUUCAGUACUGAAAGCUAGAGUGACUGCUUCAAAAGCAGAAACGAGUCUAGCAAUUUUUUUCAUGUAUUAUAUAAAACACAGUUCUGCACUCAGUAAUUUCUUAAAACAGCACAGAAACUUGUGUACAAUUUGUGACACAGAUCACAGUGUUACAAAAUUAACUUUCUGCUCUGCUUUGUUUCAGUUCUCCCGGGUUUAUUCUUUGAUUACAGCUUCCAUUGUUCACUUUGGGAACUGAAAUGGUUACUAUCAAACUGCUCUGCCUUUCAGUUUUCCGAAGAAUUAGCAAUGAUUUUUAGACACAGUUUGCAGAUCCCUUCCUUCACACUAUUUAGUGAGGUAGUAAAAAUAUUAAGGGCGUUUAUUUGCGGAAUAAUUGCUAUCCAUGGAGAGCAGCCACGUUUUAUAUCUGCCUAUAAAAUCAAAGGAAGAACAGGACUGGGAUCAAAUCAGUAAAUUAAUUAGAAAAGAGUAAGAUAAAUAAAUGCAAUGAGCAAAUCUAGAUACUGCAUAUCCUCUGCCUGGAGCUAUUCCGUUUGGUAAAGAAAAGAUCAAGACAGCUGAAAUAAUCUGAAGUAGCAACGGCCAUGAAUGAAAAAUCAGAUGUAAGGGAUACCUGAGGAUAAAGAAAUAACAGAGCCUUGAGCUUUAAUAAACAAUACUUCUGCUUCCUUAGCACUUUCCACCUCAGGAUCUCAAAACAAUCUAUGUACACUAAGGAAUUAAGACUCACAACCAAGGUCACUGUGCAGCUCCUUUUCCCCGGACAGUCUCCUUUUCCACUAAGAGAUGUUGUUCAAAGGAUAUUGAUGGCUUUCUGUAUUUGUUUGGGAUUUUGGAUGCAUAGCAGCCCUGCUGGAGCAGCAGCUUUGACCAGGUUUCUGUAAUCCAGAAACCAGACACGUGCACCAUGAGCCCUUCUGCCUUUUGUGGUGUGGUGACCAUCUGUGCUGCACAUGCAAGGAAUGUCUGAGCUCUCCUGGCAGAUAAAUAGGGCAACCUCCUUUGUGAGGGGAUGAAUAAAAAAAUUUUCUUAAGGGGAGCAGAGAGUGGUUUAUUGGUUUUUGCCUUUGAUUGGUUUUACUUAAGCUAGUAUUGUUAUUGUUUGUAGUAUCACUUCCAGGCCCUAGAUGCUGUUUGUGCUGGAGACUGCGUUAACAAGUGUGUGACAAACCAGAGUCCUUGACCUGAGGAAUCUCACUGCUCUGCCUUGUGGAAGGAUUUCUGAUGGAAGGCAACAGAAUUUGAGUCCAUGUAUAGAAGUAUGUUUUUGUGGACAGUUUAGAAUUGGUGGCAGAAUGAAGGUACUUAUUCUUCCUGGAAAAUUGCACCUAUCCUUGGCAUGGCUAAACACAGGAUGGAAUCGUGACGCAAAUUAUUCCCACCAAUACAUCUCCGAGUGCUGGGUGCUGAAUGAGGAGUGGGAAAGGCUUCUUUAUUGGGUAAAGUGAAAUUCCCAACAGGACAGUUUUCCCCAACUGCUGACACCAUGCUGUUUGUUUUGGAGAGUGAUCCACUUCUCCAGGAUUUCUUUCAUGACUGAUUUGAAGCAUGGCUCCAGUUUUGGCAUUUUGAAUGACUGAAGCUUUUCAGUUUAACUGUUAUAAAUGCCCUGCCUUAGUCACCCAAAAGAUUCAGUUUGGGGUAGCAGAGAGGAGGGGGAGCAAGGACCUCACACAAGAACUGACCUAAACUCUGAGGAGAAAAACUGCUCACCAGUCUUGUGGUUUGUGGAUGAGGAUCAGAACCCAUUGCUCUGUCCAUGGGAGGGAAGGCACUGAUCACUGGAAUUUGGAAAUGUGUUGAGAGGACCCUGAAACAAACAGAAGUUUAGCCCAGAAGCAAGGCCUGGAGGAUGGAAGCACAGCCCUGCAAAGGCUGAGGAGCAGCAAACAGCCAUGGAAGAAGAGUGCCCAAGAGUGACCACACCUGAAACCAAACACUGAAAGGACAUCGACUAAUGUGGAGCUGCUUCAAGACCUCUGACAACCCAAACAGGUUGCAUCUUUUGUCCAGCUUAUUUUGUAGAAAAAAUGGGAUUUUUUUUAUUUAACUUGAACCUUUUGAGCACGACUUUGCAGAUUUACCCAAGAACAUCUGUCUGAAAAGUCUUCAGUCACCACUCUCAAGAACUGAGAAUUUACAGAUCAGAUGGCAAACACUGGAACAGAAGAAUCUACAAGGGGAUGCAGGCAUAGAAAAUCAUAAACUGACACUAUGUUAGCCUUUUUGUUCAGGUAACACACGUCAAACAUGUUGAAUUUUGCAUUUUAAAAUGCCAGGAAUGGCACACCAAACUAUUUCAGCAUUUUUAAAUUUUCCAAUCAAAUUCCAAAAGCAAUUAUCAAAGGCCUACUAUAUAUCUAAUAACUAUUUGCAUAGUUGGAACCUGGUAUAAGUUGGUACCUCCACGGUAAGAAUAUUUUUGUUAAAUACUGUCCUUUUGUGGCAGUUUUUCUAUGGACCUGACAGCUGAUUAUUUUUGUGCACAAAGGAUAUUAAGCAAAAUGAACACAACUCAUAUAUGCAGGCAGAUAGAAGUGGUUCCUGAUACACACACAGACACACUCUAUUUGUCUGUGUAUAUACAUAUAUAAGUUGUAUAGAAGUACAACAUUUGACACAAAUUUGUGAAUUUUUAUGUCCCUGAUCUAUAUUUUCUUGUAAUAUUCCAUGACUACUUGAUAUACUAAAAUCUGUUGUGAUACUUAGACUGUUAACACCAUUACAAAAGCAAGUUUUUUUUAAUUUUUUUUCAUUACUUUCAGGGCUAUCAGCCCUCAUUUCACAUCCUGUUUUGUGAAAAGAGAGGCCAGUUUCAACAGGUUUAGAUUUCACUUUUGGGAGAGGGAAGAAUUAGUAGUUCAGAGACGGCUCAGAUAAGCCUGACCUUAACUGACACAGUGGUAUGUUGGUUUCUGCUCAGUGAAGGAGAAAGAGGGAGAAGCAAUAUUGCCAAGAACUUCAAAAUCAUGAAGAUUUCAGCUUAGAUUUUCCACAGAUGACUUAAAACAAAAGACAUACGAAUUUCUACAGUUAAGUGCAUUUUGUCUCCGUGACCUCCCAUCAGCUGUGAAAAGCAAGGGACUCAGUUUCUGGCUCCCAGGACAUCUCCAGGUAAUGUCCCAAGGGCUCCCACGAGCACAGUCCCUGCCGAGGGGGAGACUCCCCUCUUUGGGUUCUGCUUCUGACUCCUCCAACUCCUGCUGCUUCUGUGGCCCCCAGAUCCUCACACUGGAUGGCUCAGCCUUUGCUUAAAAGGAACUUAGGUUUCCUUGCUCCAUCUUUCUGGAUUAAAUGGGAUUUGCAAUUCCUGAGCACUGUUUUCCUUUUCUUUUCUGCCUUAUUUCUUUGCUGCUGCUCAAAAACUUUGACAGAAUCUCUAUGAGCUUCUUACAGGUGAGUUUUUCAGUGGCAUAUUAGUUGCCUUUGUUCAUCUAGGCUGGUGCUCUGCCUCCAAAACUGGGAAGAAGGUGAGAGAAAUACGAGAGUUCCUGGUUUCAGAACAGCUCCCCCGAAGAAAACUGUCUUUUCUAAUACCUGAUAAUUAAAAAUUCAUAUCUGAGGGUUUAUUUCCAUUCUAAUUCAUCUCCUGAGGAUAAAAGUGUUUUAUUUCUUAGUAAUGUAGUUCCUGAUGUUGCUGGCAUUGUUGGAAUAUUUGGGUCUCUGUAGGUAGCUGUGCUCUGGGUCCUCAUGGUGCCCUGGAAGGAGCAGAUAAACCCUCCGGGCAGCGGCAGCACAUGCUCCCGGAGCAAUCCAGCCAACAUUCCUCAGCUCUGACCCGAGGACCACCUCUGGAGAUAAGAGUCCCUUCUUAUCAGUGAGCCCUCGCUUUCCCUGCCAAGGCUGUCAGCAAAAAGGACAGUCAGAGCCAACACUGGAGCUGUGCAGCAGGGGCUCAUUCACCAGAAACCCUUCCGUGAUCACCGGAGUGAUUUCAUAUCCGCCACCAGAAAAUUUAUAUCGGAACAUAUUCACAUUCCCCUUUCACCCAGAGCUUGAACCCUGGAGAUCUGGCAAAUGACCAGUUCUGUGCCUCAUUAGUUUGUUCCAGAGCUGGCACUUAUGUAACUCUGAGCUCUCUCUGCAGUGUGUCGGGAAUCACACACACACUGGCUGCGCUUUGCAGACCGGGAGGGGUUGUUACCUGUUCAGAGAUGAAACCUUAGAACCGUUGGAUAUAUUCUAAAAAUCAAACAUUUAAAUUGCUAUCUCUACUCUUACCUCCUCUUGAUGUAACUGGUCAUGUUAUAAUUUAAAAUAUUCUUCAUGUGACUAAUUAUUUGCCUAAAUCACAAAUAUUUCUUUUCCUUUGCAGAUAUUUGCUAUGGUAAUUGCUGGUUUUCAGUUCUCAGAAGUCACUGCCACAUAACCAGAGGGUGGCUGAGAGACCAGUUGUCUUAAAAGCUUUGGUUCUGCAGACUUGCUCAUCUGCUGUUCAGUAGCAACAUAAAAUAGCAACACAGGUUCUUAUAGUACCAAAUCAUCCUGACUCUGCAGACAGCUCUUUCCAUAAUGUGCAUGAAAAGAUUAAAAGUUAGUCAACAAUUUUUCAAUUAAUCAUGGUUUUCCAUCAAAUCAUUUUCCUAGGAUGACCUUAAAACACUUUGUAAUUUUAUUUCAUGUAUCUCAGUGCAUAUAAAACUGUGCUCAUGCAUCAUUUGACAUUCCUCGACCGAGGAGGCUGAUGUUUUGGCAGAACUGGGUGUUGAUGUCUUUAUGGAUGGAAAAUUUUGGGUUUAUAUUGUAUCAGUAACUCUACAAGAUGUGAUACUGGGAUUUAGGGAUCUAAUCUCCUGGAAAAUGAUGAGUGAGACUCAAGUCUAUUCUUGCUAAGCUUUGAGAGAAAGGCUGACACUAGGGGUGCAUGCAAGUGCUCUUUAGUUGUUCGUUUGACACUGAAAGUCUGAAGUACAAGAAAAUCAUUGUUUUUAGCCUGGCUCCAGCAGAUGUAUUUAUAAAAUAUACAGAUUCUCUUUACAUUUUAAGUAAGACUUAAAUAAGCCUGAAAUUUGAAGCAUCUGUCUCUUGGAAUAGGAUGCUAUGGAAUAUUUAUUUUUCCUGCUGUGUGAUAUUUAUUGUCUUACAGCCUGUAUCUACAGUCCUGCAGCACAGAGAAAAGAAAUCCUGAUCAUGUGAAACUCUGACAAUUUCACUUUUGCUGUGGGAACAUGAUGGGCUAUUUUCUAUUUCCUCAGAAGCUCGUUGGAAUUUACCUUGGAAUUCAUGUGAGAGCUUCAGCACUGUUGCACCAUCCUAUUCUUCCCUUUGGCUUCAAAGGGACUGUGCCAGCACUGACUGCCAUCAUCCCUUUACCUUCUGGGCUCUGGUCCUGUGCUCCCACAUUAAAAGGUUCAAAAUUAGUAAUGAAGACAAUUUCUGCCCUGAGAAACUGGAUGUUGACUUGAUCAGACUUAAUGAUGGAAAACACCUGAGACCAAUGAGCCCUGAAUGAAAACUCCUGUGUCCUCCAGCUGUGAGUUCUGCCAAGUUGUGACCAAGGGUAAUCUGGAUUUCUUUGGGUCAAAGAUAAGGAUAAAUACCAAAGGACCUGGACGUGCACUGGAUGUUUGUUCUUCACCUGCUGCCUGUGCCUGUUUGUGCCUUCAGGACUCGUAGAGCUGAGGAUGGACAUGGAAUGAUGCCUUAUGAAACAAGUUUAAAGCAUUCUAAUAUGAGACCUACCUCGUUUAAUUUUUCCUUGCAUCGCCUUUGACUGUCCUCUGAAUUCUCUUCUCUUUGACAUCUGUCCAUCUCUGAGUGCAGUGGUUACAACUGGACCCUGUCUCCCAGCUGAAGACUCCCCAGUGAAAACAGAGCAGAAAAAAUGACUUCCCUGACAUACAGAUUUUUUAAAAAGAAGUAUUGGAAACUAAGGUGAAAAAAAAAGGACAUCCCUUUUGCCAUCUAUGAGGGGCGGGGGGCUGACCCUAAAAACAAACAGUGCAAAAGCUCCUGCUCGUUGGGACAUGCAGGUGGGCUGCUGUGCUUUUCUUUUAUGAACAUGCAAGAGCUGCAAUUACUGGGGGAAAGGGCAAGGCUUUUUUAUGAGAAGCAAUCACAGAGACUCACUUUUUCCAAAAGGUACAUUGUACUUGCUCUCAGAUUGUUGCGCUGUGUGGUGAUGAAUAACACUUGGAAGCAGAUGUCAAAAGCAUCAGUGCUCAGUGGAAAUAGUACAUUUUUUCCAUUUUAUGUCUAGUUUAGACUAUAUUAAAGAGGAGGGAAAAAAUUUAAAAGCUGAAAACAUGCUGAAACAAGUUACAGUUGUAACAGAAUUGACGACAGCCAGGAAAUUCCAAGUUCGGGUCCUCACUCUGGGCACUCAGACUAAGAGUUCACCACUAACCCUUGGGUUAGUGUUGGUCACAACAGCUUCAUCCUUAUUUGUUAUUUGCUGUUCUGUGUGUGCCUGUUUGAUGCUGGCUGUUUUUCUCUUUUCUUUUGAUCUUUCAGAAGAAUUUCUGAAGUCCGUGUCCUGCCCCGUGUGCCUUCAUACCAGUUCAAAGCUGUCAGGGAACUAUGAACUUUAUAAACACCCAUCUAAAAUGCUCUGCAUCCCAGAAAGGUCACAGAAGGUUUGUUCUAGAGACAAGAAUGAACACAAAUAUGAACUUCUAUCACUGUUUAUUAAAGCAUGUGAUAUUCACAUAAACAUUGCAAUAUUUUCUUUGCAUGUGUUAGUAAUAAAAACUUUCCGUAUUACUAAAAUCUGAAUAUUUAAAUCAUGUAAUGUUAUUUUUUCUUGAAAGUAAUAUCAAAUUAUAUUUUACUCAAAUGUUGACAACAAAAGCUGAUCUGCCUGGGUUCGCUUUGAUCCUCCUGUGAAUGGCACGGAGCAGUUCCAUGUGCACAUAGUGAGGUAC